UCUGUCAGCAUUUUGUUUAAAAUAAAUAUGGAAUUGUCUUGUAAAAUUAUGGGAAACUGAAAAAAAGGUUGAGUCAUUCAGGUUGGCACUUGGCCAGGAAAAUCAUGUGACACUUCUGCACAUGGGCGAAGUUCAAUUUGCUGCAUCAUGCUUCUGUAAUGCAAAAGUGUGUAAGUAAGUUGCUGACUAGGCUUUUUUGUUGCAUUAAUGUAUGGAGGAGCAGCCAGUCACUUUGUCGGAAGGAAUUGUGAGAAUCUGCCAGUUCUGAAGUGCUACUGGCCCCAGGUUCUGUUCUUGGCUCUUCUUAUUUGGAAAGGAUCACAAUGCGAAUAGAAUGAAAAAUGUGUGCUUGAGAUCUCAGAUAAUUGUUGCCAGUCGGAGCAGAUUGACCAGAGAGGCCAACCAGAUGUUCACAACCAGAACAGGAUGGAGAUUGCACUUCCUUUUGUUUGCUUUCAACAUGAGAUAAUAAGAGAUUCGCAAAGGAAAAUGAAAGCCUAAACCAUGGAUUACUUGGAUGGUGACAUAUUACUGAUUUCUUGGCAGUGUGAUGGACACAACUGUAGAGGAGACGGAUUGAAGAUGAAGGGGUGUAAUCAAAGAGGUUUGUGAUUUAUCUGUUGCUGAUAAGUUAAAACUCUUGGUACAUACCAUUCUGCCCGGACUGUGAAAAUCUGAAAAAUUCAGGUAAGCACAAGAUGACAGACACACCUUGAGCUAACUCUACAAAGAACUUUGAACAAUAUUCUGUGCUAUUUGUAUCUGGAGCUGGCUUUUUCCUACAAGGUAUUAACUCCUGUCCAGUCAGCAUUGCAGUUUACCUUACUUAAUUGUGAUGCAGUUCACUACUUCACUGUGAUGCUGUUCACUAUACAUGAGCCAGGGUUAUGAACUGAAGUUGAAACUAAAGGACUGAAGAUGAAACUGAGCAUGUUUCAGUUUGGAAAGUGCCUAGAUAGAAGAUCUCAUAGGAACUCUAUGUAUAAUUGCAUAGAAGGAAGCUGAGAUAUAAACAACUUUCCUUUCAUUAUCUACUGAUCCUGUGCUUUUAUAUCU